rnacentral:rRNA from 1 species
UUACGGAGGGUGCAAGCGUUGUUCGGAAUCACUGGGCGUAAAGGGCGCGCAGGCGGUUUGGUAAGUCAGAUGUGAAAGCCCAUGGCUCAACCAUGGAAGUGCAUUUGAAACUGUCAGACUUGAGUACUAGAGGGGAAAGUGGAAUUCCCGGUGUAGAGGUGAAAUUCGUAGAUAUCGGGAGGAAUACCGGUGGCGAAGGCGACUUUCUGGCUAGAUACUGACGCUGAGGCGCGAAAGCGUGGGGAGCAAACAGGAUUAGAAACCCCAGUAGUCC